rnacentral:misc_RNA from 1 species
UCACAUGAUGAACCAAGCCGAGAUCAACAAGCAGCUUAAAGGGAUAAAACUAUCCACAAGAGGUCCAUCUAUCUCUCAUCUUCUCUUUGCUGAUGA